GACGAACGCUGGCGGCGUGCUUAACACAUGCAAGUCGAACGAUGAAGCCUAGCUUGCUAGGUGGAUUAGUGGCGAACGGGUGAGUAAUACGUGAGUAACCUACCUUUAACUCUGGGAUAAGCCUGGGAAACUGGGUCUAAUACCGGAUACGACCAAUCUCCGCAUGGGGUGUUGGUGGAAAGCGUUAUGUAGUGGUUAUAGAUGGGCUCACGGCCUAUCAGCUUGUUGGUGAGGUAACGGCUCACCAAGGCGACGACGGGUAGCCGGCCUGAGAGGGUGACCGGCCACACUGGGACUGAGACACGGCCCAGACUCCUACGGGAGGCAGCAGUGGGGAAUAUUGCACAAUGGGCGCAAGCCUGAUGCAGCGACGCCGCGUGAGGGAUGACGGCCUUCGGGUUGUAAACCUCUGUUAGCAGGGAAGAAGAGAGAUUGACGGUACCUGCAGAGAAAGCGCCGGCUAACUACGUGCCAGCAGCCGCGGUAAUACGUAGGGCGCGAGCGUUGUCCGGAAUUAUUGGGCGUAAAGAGCUUGUAGGCGGUUUGUCGCGUCUGCUGUGAAGGCCGGGGCUUAACCCCGUGUAUUGCAGUGGGUACGGGCAGACUAGAGUGCAGUAGGGGAGACUGGAAUUCCUGGUGUAGCGGUGGAAUGCGCAGAUAUCAGGAGGAACACCGAUGGCGAAGGCAGGUCUCUGGGCUGUAACUGACGCUGAGAAGCGAAAGCAUGGGGAGCGAACAGGAUUAGAUACCCUGGUAGUCCAUGCCGUAAACGUUGGGCACUAGGUGUGGGGGACAUUCCACGUUUUCCGCGCCGUAGCUAACGCAUUAAGUGCCCCGCCUGGGGAGUACGGCCGCAAGGCUAAAACUCAAAGAAAUUGACGGGGGCCCGCACAAGCGGCGGAGCAUGCGGAUUAAUUCGAUGCAACGCGAAGAACCUUACCAAGGCUUGACAUAUACUGGACCGCAUCAGAGAUGGUGUUUCCCUUCGGGGCUGGUAUACAGGUGGUGCAUGGUUGUCGUCAGCUCGUGUCGUGAGAUGUUGGGUUAAGUCCCGCAACGAGCGCAACCCUCGUUCUAUGUUGCCAGCACGUUAUGGUGGGGACUCAUAGGAGACUGCCGGGGUCAACUCGGAGGAAGGUGGGGAUGACGUCAAAUCAUCAUGCCCCUUAUGUCUUGGGCUUCACGCAUGCUACAAUGGCCGGUACAGAGGGUUGCGAUACUGUGAGGUGGAGCUAAUCCCUAAAAGCCGGUCUCAGUUCGGAUUGGGGUCUGCAACUCGACCCCAUGAAGUCGGAGUCGCUAGUAAUCGCAGAUCAGCAACGCUGCGGUGAAUACGUUCCCGGGCCU
rnacentral:rRNA from 1 species